rnacentral:rRNA from 1 species
AUGUACGACGCGGGCGUACGGGGCGCGACGUACACGGGCGGUCGGCCCUACGACGGACAGCGGGUGCUCACUAAGAUCGUUGAGGACCUGUUCCAAGGCCACCCCAUCAGUGAAAGGAAGCUCAAGGAGCUGCUAGGGCACACCCCGUCGCAGGUCUUCGCCGGCGCGUUCCUGGGCAUCCUGGUGGCCUGGUUCUGCUGCCAGGGCUGUAUCGGUGCCAUCUGA